UACGGGGGGGGCAAGCGUUGUUCGGAAUUACUGGGCGUAAAGGGCGCGUAGGCGGCCUGUUAAGUCGAACGUGAAAUCCCUGGGCUCAACCCAGGAACUGCGUCCGAUACUGGCAGGCUUGAAUUCGGGAGAGGGAUGCGGAAUUCCAGGUGUAGCGGUGAAAUGCGUAGAUAUCUGGAGGAACACCGGUGGCGAAGGCGGCAUCCUGGACCGAUAUUGACGCUGAGGCGCGAAAGCUAGGGGAGCAAACGGG
rnacentral:rRNA from 1 species